rnacentral:rRNA from 1 species
AAUAGAUACCCUGGUAGUCCACGCCGUAAACGAUGAGUGCUAAGUGUUAGGGGGUUUCCGCCCCUUAGUGCUGCAGCUAACGGCAUUAAGCACUCCGCCUGGGGAGUACGGUCGCAAGACUGAAACUCAAAGGAAUUGACGGGGGCCCGCACAAGCGGUGGAGCAUGUGGUUUAAUUCGAAGCAACGCGAAGAACCUUACCAGGUCUUGACAUCCCAUUGACCACUAUGGAGACAUAGUUUUCCCUUCGGGGACAACGGUGACAGGUGGUGCAUGGUUGUCGUCAGCUCGUGUCGUGAGAUGUUGGGUUAAGUCCCGCAACGAGCGCAACCCUUGUUCUUAGUUGCCAUCAUUUAGUUGGGCACUCUAAGGAGACUGCCGGUGACAAACCGGAGGAAGGUGGGGAUGACGUCAAAUCAUCAUGCCCCUUAUGACCUGGGCUACACACGUGCUACAAUGGGCGGUACAAACGGUUGCCAACCCGCGAGGGGAGCUAAUCCGAUAAAACCGUUCUCAGUUCGGAUUGUAGGCUGCAACUCGCCUACA